CCGAUGGGGCUGGGGGCUUAUGCGUGGACCCAAAGCAACCUGCUCUGCAACAAACCCAACCUGUUCUCUUUGCUUCCUGACUGUGACUGAAAUGGCAAGAGGUGCCUCCCAAGUGCCAGUGUGAACAUCCUGCCGGCUGGGAGCCUCUCACUUUCCUUCUCUGGAAGUGGGGAAGACACAGAGUAGAGACACAUGGGGACAGACAGCUCGCAGGGCCCCGGGAGCUCUACAACAGCCUCUCCCACCCACGGUCCGCGUCCCACAGUUCUUUCUCUACUUUCAAUCAGUUCAGCAAAUGCUCGCUGUCCAAGGCUGGGCAAGCCAAGGCCCCUCCAGGAGCCCAUCCUGGCUGCUCGCCUUUUCCUACACAUGAGGGUAACUUCAGAACUCCCUGCUCCCCCCGCCCCAGGGAUACCCCCAACCUGGGGGCACCGUCCCCGAC